UCCCUGGUAGUAUAUCGGUUAGUACACGCGCCUGUCACUCGAGGUGCGCGCGAAAGCGGGGUUCGACUCCCCGCCAGGGAG
rnacentral:tRNA from 1 species